rnacentral:rRNA from 1 species
UACAGAGGGGGCGAGCGUUGUUCGGAAUUACUGGGCGUAAAGGGCGCGUAGGCGGCCUUCUAAGUCGAACGUGAAAUCCCCGGGCUCAACCCGGGAACUGCGUCUGAUACUGGGGGGCUUGAGUGCAAGAGAGGAACGCGGAAUUCCAGGUGUAGCGGUGAAAUGCGUAGAUAUCUGGAGGAACACCGGUGGCGAAGGCGGCGUUCUGGACUGCAACUGACACUGAUGAACGAAAGCCAGGGGAGCAAACGGG